AGAGUUUGAUCCUGGCUCAGGCAUGAACGCUGUGCGGCGUGCUUAACACAUGCAAGUCGAACGAAGCACUUAAAUGGAUUUCCUUCGGGGAUGAAGCUUUUGUGACUGAGUGGCGGACGGGUGAGUAACGCGUGGGUAACCUGCCUCAUACAGGGGGAUAACAGUUGGAAACGACUGCUAAUACCGCAUAAGCGCACAACUUCGCAUGAAGUGGUGUGAAAAACUCCGGUGGUAUGAGAUGGACCCGCGUUGGAUUAGCUAGUUGGCGGGGCAACGGCCCACCAAGGCGACGAUCCAUAGCCGACCUGAGAGGGUGACCGGCCACAUUGGGACUGAGACACGGCCCAAACUCCUACGGGAGGCAGCAGUGGGGAAUAUUGCACAAUGGGCGAAAGCCUGAUGCAGCGACGCCGCGUGAACGAAGAAGUAUUUCGGUAUGUAAAGUUCUAUCAGCAGGGAAGAAGAAUGACGGUACCUGACUAAGAAGCACCGGCUAAAUACGUGCCAGCAGCCGCGGUAAUACGUAUGGUGCAAGCGUUAUCCGGAUUUACUGGGUGUAAAGGGAGCGCAGGCGGCGCGGCAAGUCUGAUGUGAAAGCCCGGGGCUCAACCCCGGUACUGCAUUGGAAACUGUCGUGCUAAAGUGUCGGAGGGUAAGCGGAAUCCUAGUGUACCGGUGAAAUGCGUAGAUAUUAGGUGGAACACCAGUGCCGAAGGCGGCUUACUGGACGAUACUGACCGUGAGGCUCGAAAGCGUGGGAGCAAACAGGAUUAGAUACUUUGGUAGUCCACGCCGUAAACGAUGAAUAGUAGGUGAUGGGGAACAUGGUUCUUCGGUGCCGUCGCAAACGCAGUAAGUAUUCCACCUGGGGAGUACGUUCGCAAGAAUGAAACUCAAAGGAAUUGACGGGGACCCGCACAAGCGGUGGAGCAUGUGGUUUAAUUCGAAGCAACGCGAAGAACCUUACCAAGUCUUGACAUCUCGAUGACCGUUCUUUAACAGGAAAUUUUGUUCGGAACAUCGGUGACAGAUGGUGCAUGGUUGUCGUCAGCUCGUGUCGUGAGAUGUUGGCUUAAGUCCCGCAACGAGUGCAACCCUUAUCUUUAGUAGCCAGCAUUUCGGAUGGGCACUGUAGAGAGACUGACAGGGAUAACCUGGAGGAAGGCGGGGAAGACGUCAAAUCAUCAUGCCCCUUAUGAAUUGGGAUACACACGUGAUACAAUGGUGUCAACAAAGGGAGGCAGAGCUGUGAGGCCGAGCAAAUGUCAAAAAAAACGUCUCACAUCGGAUUGUAGUUCGCUAAUCGAAUACAUAAAGCUGGAAUCGAUAGUAAUCGCAAAUCAGAAUGAUGCGGAGAAUACGUUCACCGGGUCCUGUACACGCCGCCAGUCA
rnacentral:rRNA from 1 species